rnacentral:rRNA from 1 species
UAACUGAAGAGUUUGAUCAUGGCUCAGAUUGAACGCUGGCGGCAGGCUUAACACAUGCAAGUCGAGCGGGGGAAGGUAGCUUGCUACUGGACCUAGCGGCGGACGGGUGAGUAAUGCUUAGGAAU